rnacentral:lncRNA from 1 species
UGAUUUUAAGAGUUAUUUCCCUUAACCUAGGUCUACCUCCUUAAGUUUAUAUUUGUUUCAUGAUUAAGAAGUUGUGAAAGUUAAAUAAAUUUGUUGGUUUCAGCUGUAAGAUGCCAAUUUGUUCUUUUGUAUUAUUUACAGUAUUGUAUUUAAUGAUGAUAUGGCGCUUGUUUAAACACUAAUUACGACUUAGUUUGACAGUGCUAUCUUUGUUUUUCAGAACAAUCUUUAACCCUGUACAGGAUAAGUAUUCAGAACACCACAGUCCCUUAUCAUUCGAUAUGUUUGCAAUGAAUUGAAUGUUAUGUUUUACAAUACAAGAACAGUAUACGUAUAUAAUACAAUUACACAAAAUAUACUAUCACAUUCCCCUUUAUUCAAAUGCAUAAAUAUUUAUCCUUUUUUUGUUAGUCAUAAACAUUUUUUAUGACUUUUUCAGUUUGUUAUACUUUGAUGGUUUUGUUACUUCCAAUGAAUGUUGGUAUAUUUCCAUUACUUUAUCAACACAAUAUAUGAUAUAUCUAGCUGGUGUGAUUAUAUCAAGAAUUAUCUCCCUUGAUCUAGUUUGAGUAAUAUCAAAGAUUAUCUCCCUUGCACAGAGAUGUGUGUAAAUUUCAAGUCACUAUUAUUUGACAGCCAAUUUUUACAUGUCCAUGACAUGAUCAAAUGAUAUCUAAAGGGACAUACUUCAGAGUUGAAGAAAUACAUUUAUGUAGGACAACAUUCUUUGAAAAAUAUAAACUAGGAUUUCCAGCUUGAAUUAUCAUAAAAAUCAGUUUUGAGAUUUAUGUUUUUUUGUAUUCUCUUGACAGCCUAAUGUGAUUCUAUUCUUUUACAAGUUACAAAAAAAAAGGAAUUAACAUAAAAACAAUCUGUGAAAUUUUAAUAGAUGUAAUAAGAGUUAUAAGAACAAUGUUUGUUGAAGGACAAUGAUGCUGUGAUAUUUUGCAUUUAAUAUGUAAAACACAAUUAUUUAUUAUGAAUUAUUAUUUGUAAAUAAAACUUU